GAUGAACGCUGGCGGCGUGCCUAAUACGUGCAAGUCGAGCGAAUGGAUUAAGAGCUUGCUCUUAUGAAGUUAGCGGCGGACGGGUGAGUAACACGUUGGUAACCUGCCCAUAAGACUGGGAUAACUCCGGGAAACCGGGGCUAAUACCGGAUAACAUUUUGAACCGCAUGGUUCGAAAUUGAAAGGCGGCUUCGGCUGUCACUUAUGGAUGGACCCGGGUCGCAUUAGCUAGUUGGUGAGGUAACGGCCCACCAAGGCAGCGAUGGGUAGCCGACCUGGGAGGGUGAUCGGCCACACUGGGACUGAGACACGGCCCAGAAUCCUACGGGAGGCAGGAGUAGGGAAUCUUCCGCAAUGGACGAAAGGCUGACGGAGCAACGCCGCGUGAGUGAUGAAGGCUUUCGGGUCGUAAAACUCUGUUGUUAGGGAAGAACAAGUGCUAGUUGAAUAAGCUGGCACCUUGACGGUACCUAACCAGAAAGCCACGGCUAACUACGUGCCAGCCGCCGCGGUAA
rnacentral:rRNA from 1 species